AGUCUUUUCUGGGGGCUCCCAUCAGGUACUGCAAAGCCACAAUUGGGUCACCCUGAAUCCCAAAUUCUCUCAGCCUUUCCUCAUAGCACAGGAGUUCCAGCCCUAUAAUCAAUUUUAUUUGAUCCUCUGAACUCACCUCUACCUGUACCUGCCUUUACCUGCAAUUCUUGUUCUUUGACAAGAUUUGUGCUGCUUGAAUUCCCAAAGGGGAGAAGCAGAGACACAAAGAGAAGAAAAAGAGAAGCAGUGGAAAGGUGCUGGAAGCAUCAUUUGAGGAAUAAUCAAGGUGUAAUAAGAAGGUCCUUAAUUCCUCAACAGGCACACUCAGUGCUUUGGAAACAACCUGCUUCAGAUUACAGGGAAACACCAGAGAGUGGAUUCUGUGUGCAGAACUGGGAUGAUCUGUUGGAUGUGAGGAGCUUCUGGAUGGUGUUUGUGCCUGGAGAUGACAGAGAUGUUUUCUGCCAUUCUCCCGUGCUGGGCUGUGCUCCUGUGCCUCCCCAGAACAGGUCUAAGGAACACAGAAAAUGGGCCAGGUCAUGACUGAGCCUGAUGAUCUGUGGGACAGAUCUGCCCUUUUUGAAGAUGAAUUUUAGAAAUUCAGUCCCAGCCACCCAGACUUCCCUUUCUACCCCUUUGAAGAGAGGUGCAGAGCAGAUGAAGAUGCCUGUAAAGGACUUUAGGAGUGGUUUGUGUCACUCAGCAACGCUGGCAUAAAUCAGAUUAUUGCUGCA